GCCUCAGUUUAUUUGUUCAAAGAAUUUGUAGGUGGGGUUUUCGUAGCAAAGGUUCGGCAUCGUUGAGUUGGCGCUCCUCUGGGGUCAGCAUGGGGUCAACCUGCUGUGAGACACGGAGGGUUUAAGGUCAUACUGAUACACUUGUUUUGUUCGUCAAGCAUACCAGUGGUUUUCCCCUUGCUCCUGUCUGGUUCCUGUUUUUGACCAUUCUGCCUGCCCUGAGCCUGCCUGCCGUCCUGUACCUUGAACCACCACACUGGAUUAUUUGACCUAUGCCUGCCCGGACCCUGAUGCCUGCUGUUGUGUUCCUUUUGGACUUCGAUCUGGAUUACUGAUCUUUGCCUGUCCUUGACCUGUUGUUUUGCCUGCCCCCUGUUCUAGUAAUAAACAUGUGUUACUUCGA